UAUUAUUUUGUUUAUAUGAAUGUUUUAUGCUUUGACAGAAAAUGAUCCUUGAAAUGGCAUAUGUUUGGAAAUUGGUGUUUGUUUACUAUGCCUUUGAACUUGAUAAUGGUUAUGAAGACUGCCCACUGUAAUCACCACAUACCUGCUUUGGUUAAUAUCUGAAUUCUUGGUACUUAUGGAAAAGCAAUUCAGAAUUUGGUUGACAACUGUGUAGAGGGUGAAACAGAGUGAACAAUUUAGGAGGGUAAACCUAUGACUUUACUCAUGAUCAACUUGGGAGAUGGGAUUAUACAUAUGUUUGUGUGCAAGUGCAUGUAUGUGUAUGCCUGGAUGUUGUUUACUUAUUAGUAUUAUUAUUAUUAUUACACUUAGGUGUCAUUUGGAUAUACUUUCUAUUUUUAAAGAGAAAAAAAUUGUAAUAACAAUAACAUAAAAUGGAAGAACUUUUUGGGACAUAACUCAAAAAGAUAAUGGGUUUUAAGUUUAAAAACAAAAGAUAAAUCCAUACUUUUGAUAUAAGGGUUCUUACAUUUUAUAUAUAAUUUACUACUAUUUUUUUAUGUUGUUUUUGCAAAUAAAAAAUUAGUGAGUGUAUUCAAACGAACACUUAAUUAUUUAUAUUUAUUUUUAUCUUUCAGCUAAAUUGAAUAGCUGUCUUAACAAUUGCUAUGGACUAAGCACUCUGUCCUUAGAAUGUGAAAUGGAACUAAAUGAUUGAAAAGUCUAAACAUAGUGUUGCAUAUUGGGAAGCUGCACCAUGGACUUAAAAAACUAAAUAGCUUAGAUAGAGUUCCAAUGUAAUCAUCCAAUUGAUGGAGCAAAGUGAUACUAAGGUUAGCUUAGGACUAUUGAUCCCUACUUUGGAUCCCUUUUAGCUAGACAAUUGGUUUUGGGUGUUUUAAUGGCAACAAUGAGGUUUUUAUGUAAAAAUAAAUUGUCCAAAUGGCUUGGAACUUUUGUCACAUUAAUCAAUUGGAUUUUUUUUUUUUUUGAUAAAUAAGCAAGCAAUAGAUUAAGAAACGAAAAAAAGCCACAAGGCAUAUAGGGAGUAUACACAGUAGCCUAAACCAAAAGACACAAAAACAAACAACCUUACCAGCCCUUCAGUGGAUGCUAGCCACUCUAAAAAGCCUAAGAGAGACAAGGACUCCUCACCAAUGUACACCCGAGCCCAACUCCAAAGAUUACAUUAAUCAAUUGGAUUUUUGUGAUCAAUCAAUUAUUAUGAUGAAAUUUUUUGUUUAUAUAGAAACAUUUAUUUCAAGAUUGUAUUAUUUAUUUAUUUACUAGUAAAUUGAGCUUUCUAGUAUGGUUUCUUCUUGUUGAAGUGCAACCAAAUUUUCCUAAAAGCUUAAGCUUGUAGGAUUUGGGUUCACAAUAUAUAUCAAACUCUCCAACAAUCUUCCUUAUGUGUAGCUUCUUUUUCUUUAUGGCUUGCACGUGAGCUUAAUAAAUUGAGGAAAUAAAAUUAUGGUGAUGAGGUUUGAAUGCAUGACCUCCCACCAAAUGAGGCUUUGAUACCAUGUUGUUAUCAUGAAGUCAUCUUGUGGCCACUCAUCAAAAUUUUUAGAUUCCUGGGAAGGAGGAUCUUUCACAAGAUGUUUUAGUUUUCCAUUUGUCUCAAUAUACACCCUCAUGACUUUAGACCAUAAUAAAUAAUUAGGUCCCUUUUGCUUUACUGAAGUAAUUUGAAUGCCAACACUAUCUCUAGAUUUAUUAUCACUACUAAAUGCCAUACUUGCACUUAAAAAUAGGGACUAUUUCAUUUAAUAUGUGUAGAAUGAAGUGAAAACUCUAUUGAAUUUGUUCUGAAAAUCCAGCUGAUUACAAAGGGUAUCAUUUGAGAAAAAUGACAGCAGCUUGUCAGUUAAUCUCCUUGAUUCUAGUAGCUAACAAAUGGGAAAAACAAUCCUAAUAAAGUAGGAAAUAAAGGUUGGAAAUAUUAUCAUAAAAGAUGGACAUAUUGUCCUAAUCUCUCUCUUUAAACAAAUAAAAACUUAAUUAAAAUAGGCUACAACCCAUGAUCUCCUCAAUCAUUCCCAGCUUGUUGAUCAAAGCUUCAAAAUUGGUUCUUGGAAGGGCCUUUGUAAGAAUGUCCGUAGUCUGAAGGCUUGUAGGAGUGUAAAACAUUUUAACUAUUCCUUAUUAUUAUUUUUUUUUUGAUGAAGCGAGGUUAAUUUCCACAUGCUUAGUUUUGUCAUGACGGACCGGGUUCUUUGCAAUACUUAUAGCUGCUUGAUUGUUACAACAUCUUCAUUGACUUCUCGGUAGGAAUUUUUAACUCUUCAAGCAAUCUUUUUAGUCACAUUCCUCCAUAGCCUUGAAUUCAACCUUGACAUUGCUUCUUUCAACUACGGACUACUUUUUACUUCGCCAUGUAACGAGAUUCCCCCAUACAUAAAUGCAAUAACUAGAGGUAGAUCAUCUGUUAGUUAUAGAACCAACCCAAUUAGCAUAUGAAAAAAUUCAUUGUUCUUGUUUGUUCCCUUUUGAAAGUACAAACCCUUGCUUGGUGUCAUUUUUGGGUACCUAAGGAUCUAAUACACAACAUUAAGAUGUUCAUUUGUUAGGUUAUUCAUAAAUUGACUCACCACACUAACUGAGAAACUAAUGUUAGGCCUUAUAUGAGAAAGAUAUAUGAGUUUCCCUAUUAGUCUUUGAUACCUUCCCUUGUCAACUGGAGAGCUUCCUUCUUUCAUUCCCAAUUUACAGGUUGAAUCCAUAGGAGUGUCAGUAGGCUUACAUCCUAGCAUUGCUAUUUCCUUUAGAAGGUCCUAUAGUUUUAAAAGGUGCGCUUUAGGUGCAAGGCGGCGCGACGUGGAGCUCCAGCGCCUCACCUUACUCAAGGUGCAACCCGUUGAAGAAAGCGUUGCUUAGGCGCGGAAGGUGUAUGCCUUUGGCCAAACGCGAAGGUCCAGAAAGGCAUGCUUCUCUAUUUGUUCUUCUUCUCUUCUCUGCAGUCACAAUCCACUUCUAGGCCUAAUCUGGGUGUUUUUUAUUUUUUUUAAAGUUUUUUAUUUCACCAGGAAUAUACAACGUUUUGUUGGUGGAAUAAAAGCAAAAGAAAAUGCCCAAAUUAGGGCUGGAAGUUGAUCCUAAGAUCGUGAGAAGAAGAAGAAGAAGCAUUUUUUUUUUUUUUUAACAACCCAAAAUGAGCUUUAAAGAAACACAAAAGACCCAAAAUUAAGGCUCAAUAGAGAGUAGAAAUUGAGAAGAGGACAGAAAGAAGAACCAAGGAAGAAGAAGAGAAGAAGGAGAGAGGAAGACGAAGAGAGUGAAGGAAACUCUUCUUGGGUGGCAUGGAGCGUUUGUGGGGAAAGCUUGUAAGAAGGCUUGGCAAAUUGCUCCCUUGUGUAUUUUUUGGUUAGUCUGGAAGGAAAUGAAUUUUUUAGCUUUUGGGAAUGGGGAGCUUUCGCUUCAAAGAUUGAAAUAUUCUUUUGUAUGUAAUCUUUGGUCUUGGGUCAGGGUUUCUUUAGUUUUGAGCCCUUCUUCUCUUGUAAGUUUUUUAAACUGGUUAGGCUCUAAGUAAGGGAAGUUUGUGUGUUGCUUUCCUUUCCCCUUAGGGGUGUGUCUUUGGGCUUGUUUGUAUACUCCCUGUAUACUUGGAAGGCACUGUUUUUGGUGCUUCCUCUUUUUGUUUAAUAUACUUCCAUUUUAUCUAUAAAAAAAAUAA